GCCGAAUGCAGAUUCCAACCGGGAUAAAAAGCUGCAGCCGUAAUUAAGAGAAUCUGUCACAGCUGAGCGGCGGUGAUGAAGAACAGCCAGCAGCCGUGCAGGUAGGUCGCUCGCCCGGCCACGCCCCUUGACCUAGAUUCCGCUCCUCCGGCCAGACAGACACACAAACAGGGAAAAGAAAAGGGGGGAGAGGGAAAACAGACAAAACAAACACCCCCAGGACAGCUGUCCAUGACAUUUAUACCAAUGGUUAACGGUUAAAAAGUUAGGGGGUAGGGAACGGGUGUCCAACUGUCAUACAGGGUUUGGUUUGUAGGGUUUAAAAGACCUUAGGUGUGUCUCAAAUCGCGCACUUCUGUACUUAUACUAGCUAUUUGAGUACACUCAAUCUGUCACUCGUCGAAGUGUGGUAAAUGCAGCACACUACAUGUACCCGGAUGGUGCACUCAUAACGGUCAAAAAGUUGAGUGUGGAUCGAUGGACACUUUCCACCCUCAACGGUCGCCAUCUUGGCUACGUAGCGGAAGGGGCGGAGCUAACAAAAGGUGAAAAACUUUCGAUAAUGGCGGCCGAAUACGCGACAGCGAGACCCACGGAGUAUUACAAAUGGACACGGACGUGGCCGUCAAUGCUGCCAACUUGAGGGAAGUCCUCCUCUGCUGGAAGGCCAACGACCUGGGGGAGGAGAGAGAGGACUCCCUGCUGGUCUGGUGGACAGCACGGUGCACAGUGGCCCGGGGCAUAGCAAAGGCUCUGGCUAAACCACGAUAACAGGUACCGCUGGCUAGCCAAAAGAGGAAGCCAAGGGCCUCGAUGACGGGUCCCCAGCCAUGGUCACACGCCGUGCCGAGGAUGUACCGUUAAAGGAUCCCCCUGGAGAGUCUGAAGUCUACCAUCAUAUCACUUUCUCCAUCAAAGUACAGGGCCAGCAAUGAAUAGAACAAUGGGAUAUAUUUAAAUGUCUAUUGGGUUGCCUCUGCUUUCACUCUUGUAUUGUCACUGUAAUUAAUAGCUAUUGCAAUAAACACCCUUAUAUAAACAUAUAA